GAUGAACGCUGGCGGCGUGCCUAAUACAUGCAAGUCGAGCGAACGGACGAGAAGCUUGCUUCUCUGAUGUUAGCGGCGGACGGGUGAGUAACACGUGGAUAACCUACCUAUAAGACUGGGAUAACUUCGGGAAACCGGAGCUAAUACCGGAUAAUAUUUGAACCGCAUGGUUCAAAAGUAAAAGACGGUCUUGCUGUCACGUAUAGAUGGAUCCGCGCUGCAUUAGUUAGUUGGUAAGGUAACGGCUUACCAAGGCAACGAUGCAUAGCCGACCUGAGAGGGUGAUCGGCCACACUGGAACCGGGACACGGUCCAGACCCCUACGGGAGGCAGGAGUAGGGAAUCUUCCGCAAUGGGCGGAAACCUUACGGAGCAACGCCGCGUGGGUGAUGAAAGUCUUCGGAUCGUAAAACUCUGUUAUUAGGGAAGAACAUAUGUGUAAGUAACUGUGCACAUCUUGACGGUACCUAAUCAAAAAGCCACGGCUAACUACGUG
rnacentral:rRNA from 1 species